GACGAACGCUGGCGGCGUGCUUAACACAUGCAAGUCGUACGGUAAGGCCCUUUCUGGGGUACACGAGUGGCGAACGGGUGAGUAACACGUGAGUAACCUGCCCACAACUUUGGGAUAACGCUAGUAAACUGGUGCUAAUACUGGAUAUGUGCUCCUGCUGCAUGGUGGGGGUUGGAAAGCUCCGGCGGUUGUGGAUGGACUCGCGGCCUAUCAGCUUGUUGGUGGGGUAGUGGCCUACCAAGGCGGCGGCGGGUAGCCGGCCUGAGAGGGUGACCGGCCACAUUGGGAAUGGGAUACGGCCCAGAAUCCUACGGGGGGCAGCAGGGGGGAAUAUUGCACAAUGGGCGCGAGCCUGAUGCAGCAACGCCGCGGGCGGGAUGACGGGCUUCGGGUUGUAAACCGGUUUCAGCAGGGACGAAGCUGUUUGUGACGGUACCUGCAGAAGAAGCACCGGCUAACUACGUG
rnacentral:rRNA from 1 species